GGGGUUGGAUUAAUAAGUUAACAAUAAUAAAAAAAAUUUUAAUAUUAAAAAGAAAAAAUGGGGGUUGAAGUAUUUUUAAUAGAAAAAAUUAUAAAUUUUAUAGUUGAAUAUUACUGUAAAGGAAAUUUAAAAUAAAAUGAAAAUUAAUUAAAUAAAAAGUAAAUUUAAUUUGUUGUAUCUUGUGUAUCAGAGUUUAUUAAAUAAAGAAAAUUUAUUUAAAUAAAUCUCGAAUUUAAAAGAGUUAAUUAAUUAAAAAAUUUAAUAUUGUAUAAUUAUUUUAAAUAAUUAAUUAGAAAUGAAAUGUUAAUCGUUUUUAAAUAUAUCUAGUUUUUUUAGAAAAAAAUUUAAUUUUAAAUUAAAAUAAUUUUAUAAUUAAUUAAUUAAUUAUAAAAAUUUAAAAUUUAAUAUUUUAGGGGAUAAGCUUUAAAUUAAAUUUUUAUAAUUAUUAAUAAAAAAAAAUUAAAAUUUUUAAAAUUUAUAUUGUUUAUAAAUUAUAAUUUAUUAUAAAAAAUUUUAAUUAAAAUAAAAUUUAAAUUAAAUUUAAUUUUUUAUAAAAAAAUAACUUUUAAUAAAAAAAAAUUAGUAAUAAUGAUAAAAUUAGUAUAUUAAAAUUAAUUUAAAAAAAAAAAUUAAUUAAAAUUAAAUUAAAGGAAUUCGGCAAAAUUUAUAUUCACUUGUUUAUCAAAAACAUGUCUUUUUGAUAAUAAUUUAAAGUCUAAUCUGCCCACUGAUUUAAAAUAUUAAAGGGCUGCAGUAUAUUGACUGUACAAAGGUAGCAUAAUCAUUAGUCUUUUAAUUGAAGACUUGUAUGAAAGAUUUGAUGAAAUAUAAACUGUCUCUAAUUUAUUAUUAUAUAAUUUAAUUUUUUAGUUAAAAAGCUAAAAUAAUUUUAAAAGACGAGAAGACCCUAUAGAGUUUUAUAAUUAAUUUAUUUAUUAAUAAAUAUUAAAUAUGAAAUAAUAAUUAAUUUAAUUAUUAUGUUGGGGUGACAUGAAAAUUAAAAUAACUUUUAUUAUAAAUUAAACAUUAAUAAAUGAAUAAAUGAUCCAUUAAUUAAUGAUUAUAAGAAAAAAUUACCUUAGGGAUAACAGCGUAAUAUUUUUUUUUAGUACGAAUAAAAAAAAAAGUUUGCGACCUCGAUGUUGGAUUAAGAUAAAAUUUAAAUGUAGAAGUUUAAAAUUUUGAUCUGUUCGAUCAUUAAAAUCUUACAUGAUCUGAGUUCAAACCGGUGUAAGCCAGGUUGGUUUCUAUCUUUAAAAAAAAUAAAAUAUUUUAGUACGAAAGGAUCAAAUAUUUGAAAUAAUUUUAUUUAUAAGAAUAUUAAUAAUAUAAUAUUAAA
rnacentral:rRNA from 1 species